GCGACGGCGGUAGGGCUGAGGGGCUCGGCCUCCCUCGUAACCAAACGGUCGAUACGGGUGGCCAGUAACACAUACCCGCUCUUGGCAUAUAUAGGAUAACCCAAACCGGAAGUGAUGAAGGCUUGGCCUACGGGGUCGCCACAGCCCCUAGCCCCUUCGGAGGAAGGGGUAAAGGGGUUAAACUUUAGAACCGGGUCAGGCCCGGAAGGGAGCAGCCCUAAUAAAGGGUGGUGACGUUCGUAGGUAACAAGCCAGAAUGGAAGGUUUGGGAAGUCCUAUAUAUGCCAAGGGUUGGUAUGUGGGCGCCGUCGC
rnacentral:SRP_RNA from 1 species